UCUUUCUUUUCUUUCUCAGUAGAAUUUUUACACAAUUCUUUCUCUCUUUUAUCAUUAAAUUACCUUUAAUUCUUAACGAUCUUUAAUCUUUGUCUCUUCUUUCCUAUAUAUAUAUUUUUGUUUACUUUUCUCCGUAGCGAAUUUUGUCUUUCUGACGCGGGAUUAGGUUCCUGGACUUAGGGAGUUGCUACACGCCAGCUCCACCAUGGCGACGGCAUUCACUAGGCAGCCUACAUAGCCACCUUUCAGCUCACGCUUCGGGAUACUUUUUUCGCUGAGAUUCUCCGCGAUAAGGCAUGAAAGCAGAGACCACCGUCUGCGGAGGCAUGAUUAUUCUAUUGUUCCUUUUAACGAGUAAUCGUUUUACUCGAGUCCUCUUACUAAACCGUAAGUACAAAAGACUAUUAUACUUAGAUAGGUACUUGGUCUCAAGAACCAACUUAUUUUGGUCUUUCGAUUAAGUUCUUAAUUAAAUGCUCAAUUAGAUAUUCAUAAAUAUAUCUUCAUAAUAUUUCCCUCAUCUAUUUCUUUGAUAUUCUAGCAACCUCGUUAAGACGUCCGCCACUUCAACUUCUAUCUACAAGUGGCAAAAACUGAAGCUGACCUUCUUCAUGGAGAAACAUGCCGGAAAUGGCAUCCGCACGUGAGAAUAAUUAUACUCAGUGUCCAGGUAGUUUUUUCGAUCAUCCGAUAGAAGUCGUUUCUGUUUUUCAGAGUUCGUUCACGCCUCCAGAAUGUAAAAAUAUCCAAGGAAGUACCAUUAGGAAGCAAUGAAAUUCAGAGCUUCUGUGGUUAUUCCUUUUUCUGAUUGUUUCUUUUCUUUGCCCAAAAUGGAUGAUUUCUAUAUCAAAUUGUUUAUUCGUAUUUUUUUUUUAAUAUUCCUUGAGAUUUUCAAUCAACUCGAUUUCGAAUUUUUUACCACCCGAUCUUCUGGUUGACGUCGUUAAGAAAGAGGAACGAGUGCACAGGAAGCAUGGUCGGCGUGAGCAUGAUUAGAUCCGGUCUGCCCGAUGACCUUGCCAGUGAUAAUAGCGGUUCGUUAAGGUGGUUGCAGUCUUGGUUUGCUUCUGUUUCGAUUUCCAGCGAACUCGUCAGCCGGCAUGGCUUCCGAGAUGCUCCCCCUGAAACAAGUCGAAGGGAAAUAAUUAAUGGACUCUCUGUUCGAUUAUGGAACCAAAGAUUCUUAUCUGGUUUAUGGUGAGCUAAGGAACUCUUUGAAAACAGCAUUUAUAACUUUCGAAAAAGAGACAGGUAUUUCUUGCGCGAACAAUUGAAUAAUUAAUUCGUUCUCUAAAUAUCCUUAUCUGUUGUUCCUAAAAUACAUAAUGAUUGGAAGCUUCUUACGGGAAGCGCAAUCAGCCGCUGAUAUCAUUGAAGUCGAAACGCCAUUAAAACCAUAUUACGAUUCGCAUGCGACAUGCUCCAUUCAUGAAAACACAAAAGCAAUAAACAAGUACAAAUCAACGAAAUAAAUCCUCCGAGAACGAGACGUUACAGGAAUUAUACCAUUGCGAGGAUACAAAAGACUUGCUCAUGAGCUACUUCCUUCAAGUAGUCGAGCGGUGUAUUUUCCGGUCGUUAACUUCCAUAUAAUGGGAUAUUAAAGAGUACGGAUACAACGCUGCUAUUUUUCAACUGUUCAUUAUCAAAUUACGCAGCGGGAAUCGUUGCAACGACAAAACUGUAACGACUCGUACCUGCGUAUCUUCCAUUUAGCUGCGGUAAACGCUGACUUGUCUGCGUUUUUUUUUCACUUCCUCGUUACGGAAACCAGGAAAAGUGAUUCACAAUACAGUUUCUAACUGUACUUCUCGCGAUUCUUUCUUAGAAACAAGCAAUUGCUUCUUUUCAAUUUCCUAAAUCUAUAAUAAAACAGUCCAUUCCUUGAAUAGAAAUUAACUUUAAAACUUUAGGCGCAUACAUUGUACGUAUCGUAUGUAUGUAUUUUGAUUUGAAAAGAAACGCGGCAAACGCCUUUGAAAAGACGUUAGGUUUUCAACGCCUUAACUAACUUAAUUCCAGCGAGUUGUAAAUCUGCUGCAUCUCCAACAUCUGAAUAUCAAUCUUUUACAAUGA